UGAGUUGACGAGACAAUCGCUGCUUUAUCGUUGUAUCGUUUAUUUUUAAUAAGCGGUAAACAGAUAGAGGGGAGGAAAGUCCGGGCUCCAAUGAACAGGGUGCCAGGUAACGCCUGGGGGGCGCGAGCCCACGACAAGUGCAGCAGAGAGAAGACCGCCGAUGGUUACUUUUUCGAAAGUUUCACAGGUAAGGCUGAAAGGGUGCGGUAAGAGCGCACCGGAUUGCUGGUAACAGUAAUUGCAGGGUAAACUCCACCCGGAGCAAGACCAAAUAGGGUUUCAUGACUAUGUUAACGCAAGUUUUCAUAGUAUAAGCGUGGUUCGCGUGGAAACCGGGUAGGUUGCUUGAGCUAUAGAGCGAUUUAUAGCCUAGACGAAUGAUUGUCACUCUUCCUUGGAAGAGAUACAAAACCCGGCUUAUGCGUCAUCUCACCAA
rnacentral:RNase_P_RNA from 1 species